rfam:Macaca mulatta chromosome 4, whole genome shotgun sequence.
UAAAAGGCCCUUUUCAGGGCCCCCCUACUUUCUCAGCUGAGGAGUGG